AGUGAACGCUGGCGGCGUGCUUAACACAUGCAAGUCGAACGAGAACGGAUUAUAGCUUGCUAUAAUUGUCAGCUAAGUGGCGCACGGGUGAGUAAUGGAUAGGUAAUAUGCCUCUUACUAAGGGAUAACAAAUGGAAACGUUUGCUAAUACCUUAUACUCCUUAUUAACAUAAGUUAAUAAGGGAAAGAUUUAUUGGUACGAGAUUAGCCUGUAUUGUAUCAGUUAGUUGGUGGGGUAAUGGCUUACCAAGACUAUGACACAUAACUGGUUUGAGAGGAUGAUCAGUCACACUGGAACUGAGACACGGUCCAGACUCCUACGGGAGGCAGCAGUGGGGAAUAUUGCACAAUGGACGGAAGUCUGAUGCAGCAACGCCGCGUGGAGGAUGACACAUUUCGGUGCGUAAACUCCUUUUCUAUGAGAAGAUAAUGACGGUAUUAUAUGAAUAAGCACCGGCUAACUCCGUGCCAGCCGCCGCCGUAACAC
rnacentral:rRNA from 1 species